rnacentral:rRNA from 1 species
ACGUAUGUCGCAAGCGUUAUCCGGAAUUAUUGGGCGUAAAGGGCAUCUAGGCGGUCAAUCAAGUCGAAGGUGAAAACUUGUGGCUCAACCAUAAGCUUGCCUACGAAACUGAUUAACUAGAGUACUGGAGAGGUGGACGGAACUACACGAAUAGUGGUGCACGUGGUAGAUAUGUGUGGGAAGGCAGGUGAUGUAGAUAGUCCAGUAGACAUAAACUGCCGUUUAAGUGCAUGGCUUAGUUGACCAAAAAG